rnacentral:rRNA from 1 species
AUACGGAGGGGGCUAGCGUUGUUCGGAAUUACUGGGCGUAAAGCGCGCGUAGGCGGCUUAUCAAGUUAGGCGUGAAAGGCCUGGGCUCAACCCGGGAACUGCGCUUAAUACUGGUAGACUUGAGUCCGGGAGAGGGUGGCGGAAUUCCCAGUGUAGAGGUGAAAUUCGUAGAUAUCGGGAAGAACACCAGUGGCGAAGGCGGCUACCUGGACCGGUUCUGACGCUGAGGCGCGAAAGCGUGGGGAGCAAACAGGAUUAGAAACCCCAGUAGUCC